CAGGCUGCAUCCCUUACACAAUUUAUUCCUAAAAAGAAAAAGAAAGAAAAACAAACAUAAAAACACAUCGCUUUAAAAAAAAGAGAAUGUUUAUUUAAUGCAAAAAUGAGUCUAGGUUGCCUCCUAGUAGCGCUUCUUUAUGGUCACUAGCUUGACCCCUGUUCCUGUAGUUGCUCAUGUUGGUUGCCCACUGUCAAGGCCUUCUUGCCUCAACUCAUCUUCUUCAGACAUAGCAUCAGGU
rnacentral:lncRNA from 1 species